rnacentral:lncRNA from 1 species
UUUUGGGGGGGACCUAGGACAUUCUGUGAGCCUGCAGGAAAGUUUACCAAAUGCUGCAGCUUUGUCCUGGUGGUGAUGGGCACCCCAUUAACGGCAACCUUGCAUUUGCUGUGUGGAGUGACCAUCACUUUACCGUCGGCAUUUGUGAAGGAAGCGUGUUUAUCUGAAAUUCUAAGAAGACGAGAGUCAGUCUAAGACACCCAGCAAACGGCGGUUUCCGUGAGCAGGGUUGGAGCCCAGGAAGCAAACCAGCACUGCACCCUAGAUUUCAGCCAGAGGACGAAAGCCCUGCCCUCAGCUUUCUCAGACCAGCCCUGGAGUAGGUGGCCCGGGGAGACCUGGGCAGUGUCCCUGCUUGUCCUGCAGACUGUGUGGCUCUGCAGACCUCUAGAUGGAGGAGGCACAAUUCUCUAAUGCUAGACGAGGACACUGAUCAUGGAAACUCACCCCAAACCUUGAAUCGUGAUAGCAUUUGAGGCAGCCCGACCAGCGUCACAUGAACCUGAAAAGAAUCAAGAUAUAAUUUAUUUUGAAAAUAAAUCAGACACUUUCAGAA